UACGUAGGUGGCAAGCGUUGUCCGGAUUUACUGGGCGUAAAGAGCGCGCAGGCGGUCGUUCAAGUCGCGUGUGAAAGCCCCCCGGCUCAACUGGGGAGGGUCACGCGAUACUGAUCGACUCGAAGGCAGGAGAGGGAAGUGGAAUUCCCGGUGUAGUGGUGAAAUGCGUAGAGAUCGGCAGGAACACCCAGGGGGAAACCAGUGGACUGGGCAUGUGCUGACGCUCAGGUGCGAAAGCGUGGGGAGCGAACCGG
rnacentral:rRNA from 1 species